CAGAGCUGGCUGUAGUUUUGAAGGCAGAUGCAAAGCAGUUCUUCCAGAUGGAAGCCAGAGUGAAGCGGGCAAGAUGCCAUCUGGAAGGAGAGGGACCUUGCUGUGCAGAUGCACGUUACAAAAAUAAUAGAAUAUAAAACUGGAAAAAAACAGACAUAGUGAAUGGGAUGGUUCACUGAGUAUCUCGCUGCUGAGUCCCGCCUUUCCAAAGAGUGCAUUGUGUGUAGUAACAUGUAGCCUGGUAAUAAACCCCAGAAUUGAAGACCUUUGCUAUCUGGAAGCCAGCAAGUAUACAGGAGCUGCUGAACAGCACCUGUGACUGUACAUCAACAAACGUGUGACAACUGUAUGGAAACUGGGAUAUCCAUAGUGCUCAAAGACAUGAGCAUGAUCAACUCCUAUAUAGCAGCAAAAUGAUUCUGUCUUGGCUCCUACUGCACAAUGUCAUUCUGAGAACUGUAACUGAUGACUCCAAGAUCUGUUUCCAUAGAUGUCAGUGCCUGUUCUGAGUUCAGCCUCAUGUAAGCAUGGUUUAUAUUCUUUUCUUCUAGAUGUGUCACCUAAAAUUUAUCUAUAUUGAAGUUCUUCUGCAAGUUUUGUGCCCACCAUUUGGUUUUGUGAGGUCGUCUGAAUCUGCAAAAUUUUGGUGCAUUUGCUAGCUGUCAGAAAGCUUGUCUCUGUUGGAGGAGGUUUCUGAUGCAUAGGUCUCCACGAACUGAGCCAUAACGUGGCUGGGAGCCAGUGGCAAAAUUCUGUACUGGAAAUACCUAAGUCUCUCUGCCUUCUGGAAAAAACAGUCAGACAUGUUCUAGCUCCAGUUCCUAAGGGGAUGGAGCGCUGUGCUUAAUUUUACGCAUAUCAGAAACCCCAAGGAAAAGUUGCCUACACUUAAUGCUAAUAUCUCAACACCUUCCUAAAAUGAAAGCAUUAUCUACCAACUUACUUAGGUUACUCAAGUCCUUGAUUUUCUCUCAAACACCAAAUUUAAUGAGUUAGAAGAAGAUUUCUCCAAGAGAUGCAAGGAGUCUUCAUCUCAGCAACAUGUUGUGUAACUGGCAUCUUCAAAUACGCUGACAAGUUGACAGCUUCUUAAUAAGAACCAGGCACAUUAGCAGUGCUGCCCCAAGGCAGCUAGAAGAGCUCUUCUGCAAGUGCUGCAAAUUAAAACCAACAUGUCUUUGUAAUAUGAGAUAGUGACGUGCUGGGAAGGAGGUACUUGGCAUUGACAUCAGGCAAUGAAGAUGUUAAGUUCAGUGGGAAAAGUGGAUGCUGAGUAGAAAUUUACAGUGAGCUCUCUGUGUAUGCUAUGAAGUAUCUGUAUCAAAGCUCCACCUUGUUUUUUUUUUCUGUGACACAAAUGAAAUCUUGGCCACUAGGGAGCUGAUUUUAGUGAUAAAAAUAGAUCAUUUUAUUUAGUUUGCAAGGCAGCAGGUGGUGUUUAGUCCACUCUGUGUUUUGAGAGGCAUCAGAAAUGAUCUAAGUGGAGUUUGUACACAGCUUCAGCUUCUAUGUUCAUGAAUGUCUACUUAAACUGCUAUCUUGAGACCCCCAACUCUGCCUCCACGGCUCCUUCAUAACGCCUUUCUGUAGUACAGAAAGAAAAAGUAUUAGAAUGUUGAUUUUUUUCCACUUUCCCCAAACAAUCUUGAAUUAAUUGCUGUGUGAGAGGAUGAGGUGCAAAACGAAGCACAAAGAUAAAACUACUUGCAAAUGUGCCUGCUGGCUGUCAAAUAACUGCAGUCCUUCCCACACCUUGUGAUCAAUAACAGCUUAUUGACAGUUCAUUAAAAAUUCUUCCCAGUGUUUUUUUUCUAAUUUUUCAUUAACAGUUGAAUGUUACCUUUUGUAACAUUUUUCUAACAUUACCUUUUAUUGUCCACUGUCUAACCACAUGUUUGUUUGUCACAGCUUGCUUGUUCACAGGAAAACAAACAGUGCAGAGUAGAAAAAAACACAUUCUGUCAACAGCCCUUAAAAUUUUACCAGAUCCCCUUCACAAAUCCCUCUAGUGAUACUGUGAAAGGUAUUUUCUGAAAGUUGUUUAUUCAGAUAUUUGGUUUGUGCACUCUUUCUUAGCAAAAAUACAUGCAUAUCUUUCUAAAUAUAGAUACUAAAAAUGUUUGUCAUAUCAUGUCAACUGCUUCAAGACGUGAGCUAGUGCAGAGCCUAAAAAUAGCUGCCUGAAGAAGAUUGGACUAGCCUAAAGCCAGGCUGGGAUCCAAGAGGAGUAAAUAUGACUUAAAUUCACUUUUGCUCACUCGUGUUCUAAACACUGACUGAAAACUGGAUGAAACCAAUUCAAAUUGUAUGGAUGUAUACAAAAAAAAAGAAUGAGAGUGAAAAGAGAGUGAAUUUUUCACUCCAGUUCCCUUUUUAUUUUCAUCAGUGACUAGGGUGGCACACUGGCCACAUUUAGGUGCUGCAGAAUCUGUAAAACAAACAGGUUGGCUGUUGAAGAGAACGAUGGAAAGUUGUUUCCCCAAACAGAGAGUAAGGGAAGGAGGCAGAGAAGGAGCUGUCUGUCUCCUUCCCAAACUGCAGCUUUGUACAUUAUCUUUUCUGCAGUUAAAGAUAACACAGCAUGUUCCUGAGCUCAUUGGACAUCAGAGUUACACAAAUCAUCAGAAUCGUAAUAGUGAUAACAAAUACAUAAUUUGGACUAAAAGCAGCUGUUUAAGAUGGACCACCAGCACCCCUUAAAUAGAUGCUUGCAUAAUGUUUGGGAUUUGGAAAUCUCCAUGAAGAGCAUUUCUAAUGAAUGAAAUGUCAAGUAAUACAAUCUGCGUGUGUGGCUGACUUUGACAUUUCCAAGCAUAGCCUCUCUCCUGGGCCAUCAUUUUGCACCCACACUUGUCUGACAACUUACUGAAGAAAUGCAUCCAAACAGACAACGAAAUGCCUGUAUGAUUUACACAGGAGGCAAGUAAACAAAAUAUCACUUACUAUAAAACCUUUCCAAAUGCAACUGUAAAAAGCAAUAUCAGACAGUUCCAAAUGCUGGAAAACGGCUUUUCUGACUGCCGCUUAGCUCAUUUCUAUUCAUUCUUUUGGGAUAAAAUUUUUCUUAUUGAGGUUUGACCAGACUUUGAUCCAAACAUCUGAAGACUCCACAACAACUAUUGCUAGGCAUCCAAUGCUCCUCAUGUUUGAACAGGUAGCUCAUAGCCGUAGCACAGAGAGAGGGAUUUUCUUAAUAAUCCACUGAGAAUAAAGACAUUCAGUAAAUCAGUAGGACAAGGACUGGGGAAGUGUCAAGUUCUCUGUCCUGUUUUAUUGCUCAGUUUUCAUAAAUGACGAUUACACUUGUGCAUAUUAUAGCCAGAAAUGGCUUUGCCCAGGAAAUUCUCAGUACUUUAAUUUUGACUUAGACUCAUAGUCUUAUCACCUUUAGAUAAAUUGCUGGUUCCUGGUGUUAAUCUUUAUAUGUUCUCUCCAUUUUCCUUUUCUGUUCAUCCACAUGUUACCUCUCUCUUUACUGACAAAUACUCAUUUAUUAAUAACAGUGUGCAAGAAUGAAAUGUAAAUGGUGAUUUACCCCUUUUUGCCCAGAGAAUAUGUCAAGAAGCUAUGAACAAAAUCUGUGCUGUACUGUUCAAACAGAUGACACCUUAAUUAGAUUAAGUUGAGCAUGAGAGGAAUAUUGAAGAUGAUGUGCAAACUACAAACAGGUCAACUUCUUCAAGAUAAAGUGGAUUAUUUCAAUGCAAGACAUAAUUAAAUACAAUUUCUUUGAACUCUCCAUUUUGUGGUCUAAUGUAUGCCUGUUGGGGAAAAGACUAUUUUUAGCAAUAGUGAAUUUCCUACUUGUGGAUAUAUUUGCUCUAAAUUCCUUUUUGGUUCCCGGAGAGCUCGUCAUUUACAGACUGAGAUUUUUUUUUAUGUCACAUAGAAUGACAUCUUCUCUCGAACAGAUCUAUUUCAAAUAAAAAUAUUCAAAUAUGGAGAGCUAUGUCUUCCAUGUGUG